UACGUAGGGUCCGAGCGUUGUCCGGAAUUAUUGGGCGUAAAGAGCUCGUAGGCGGUUUGUCGCGUCUGCUGUGAAAUCCCGAGGCUCAACCUCGGGCCUGCAGUGGGUACGGGCAGACUGGAGUGCGGUAGGGGAGAAUGGAAUUCCUGGUGUAGCGGUGGAAUGCGCAGACAUCAGGAGGAACACCGAUGGCGAAGGCAGUUCUCUGGGCCGUAACUGACGCUGAGGAGCGAAAGCGUGGGGAGCGAACAGG
rnacentral:rRNA from 1 species